GACGUAGGGCGCGAGCGUUGUCCGGAUUUAUUGGGUGUAAAGAGCUCGUAGGCGGCUUGUCGCGUCGACUGUGAAAACCCGUGGCUCAACCAUGUGGUCUGCAGUCGAUACGGGCAGGCUAGAAUUCGGUAGGGGAGACUGGAAUUCCUGGUGUAGCGGUGAAAUGCGCAGAUAUCAGGAGGAACACCGGUGGCGAAGGCGGGUCUCUGGGCCGAUAUUGACGCUGAGGAGCGAAAGCGUGGGGAGCGAACAGG
rnacentral:rRNA from 1 species